AGUGGAUUAGCGGCGGACGGGUGAGUAACACGUGGGUAACCUGCCUCAAAGUGGGGGAUAGCCUUCCGAAAGGAAGAUUAAUACCGCAUAACAUAAGAGAAUUGCAUGAUUUUCUUAUCAAAGAUUUAUUGCUUUGAGAUGGACCCGCGGCGCAUUAGCUAGUUGGUAAGGUAACGGCUUACCAAGGCAACGAUGCGUAGCCGACCUGAGAGGGUGAUCGGCCACAUUGGAACUGAGACACGGUCCAGACUCCUACGGGAGGCAGCAGUGGGGAAUAUUGCGCAAUGGGGGAAACCCUGACGCAGCAACGCCGCGUGGGUGAUGAAGGUCUUCGGAUUGUAAAGCCCUGUUUUCUGGGACGAUAAUGACGGUACCAGAGGAGGAAGCCACGGCUAACUACGUGCCAGCAGCCGCGGUAAUACGUAGGUGGCGAGCGUUGUCCGGAUUUACUGGGCGUAAAGGGUGCGUAGGCGGAUGUUUAAGUGGGAUGUGAAAUCCCCGGGCUUAACCUGGGGGCUGCAUUCCAAACUGGAUAUCUAGAGUGCAGGAGAGGAAAGCGGAAUUCCUAGUGUAGCGGUGAAAUGCGUAGAGAUUAGGAAGAACACCAGUGGCGAAGGCGGCUUUCUGGACUGUAACUGACGCUGAGGCACGAAAGCGUGGGUAGCAAACAGGAUUAGAUACCCUGGUAGUCCACGCCGUAAACGAUGGAUACUAGGUGUAGGGGGUAUCAACUCCCCCUGUGCCGCAGUUAACACAAUAAGUAUCCCGCCUGGGGAGUACGGUCGCAAGAUUAAAACUCAAAGGAAUUGACGGGGGCCCGCACAAGCAGCGGAGCAUGUGGUUUAAUUCGAAGCAACGCGAAGAACCUUACCUGGACUUGACAUCCCUUGCAUAGCCUAGAGAUAGGUGAAGCCCUUCGGGGCAAGGAGACAGGUGGUGCAUGGUUGUCGUCAGCUCGUGUCGUGAGAUGUUAGGUUAAGUCCUGCAACGAGCGCAACCCUUGUUAUUAGUUGCUACCAUUAAGUUGAGCACUCUAAUGAGACUGCCUGGGUAACCAGGAGGAAGGUGGGGAUGACGUCAA
rnacentral:rRNA from 1 species